GGCCUUGACAUGCAGAGAACUUUCCAGAGAUGGAUUGGUGCCUUCGGGAACUCUGACACAGGUGCUGCAUGGCUGUCGUCAGGCUCGUGUCGUGAGAUGUUGGGUUAAGUCCCGUAACGAGCGCAACCCUUGUCCUUAGUUACCAGCACGUUAUGGUGGGCACUCUAAGGAGACUGCCGGUGACAAACCGGAGGAAGGUGGGGAUGACGUCAAGUCAUCAUGGCCCUUACGGCCUGGGCUACACACGUGCUACAAUGGUCGGUACAAAGGGUUGCCAAGCCGCGAGGUGGAGCUAAUCCCAUAAAACCGAUCGUAGUCCGGAUCGCAGUCUGCAACUCGACUGCGUGAAGUCGGAAUCGCUAGUAAUCGUGAAUCAGAAUGUCACGGUGAAUACGUUCCCGGGCCUU
rnacentral:rRNA from 1 species